rnacentral:rRNA from 1 species
AUGGAACAUUCCAUCCCUUAUUCUCAUGGCUAUGCAUCGGAUUCGGAUGAUGAAGGUCCCGAUGAACAAGUUGAUGAGGAGGGGUUCACGGCGAAGGAGGCCGAAGGUUUCGAGAAGGUAUUUGGUCGGGAUCAUUGGACUACAUUGUUCAAGGAUGUUAGUCUCGCGGAUGAAGUCGUGGUAGAUGGUGGCCAAGGUAUAUCUCUUGGGGUUAGGCCAAGCUCUCACCGUGAUUUGAAUGAUGGCAAGAACGGGAUUGCUAAAGGGUCUAAGUUCCAAACAUUUUUGGAGUUGAAGAUGUGGCUCGACAACUACUCGGUUACGUAUUAUCGUCCACACAAGGUGGUGCACUCGAACGUCAAAGUGCUUGCAUGUCCAUGUGAAGAUGAUGAAAAAUGUCCAUGGAUUUUACGUGCAAGACCAUGGAAAGGAGGUCCCACUUGGCAUGUAGUCAGUUGUGUGGCAACUCACAUGUGCCGAGGCAAAAUGGUGGAUGGCAAGGUUGUGUCCCAAGACCACAGACAACUCACAUCCGAUUUCAUCGCUUAUAGGCUCUCCAACUCAAUUUCCACACUUCCAACAAUGAGCAUACAACAUAUGAUUGACCUUGUGAAAGCCAUCUUUCAUUACAAGGUGAAGUACGGGAAGCCACGCCACUGCUACUUUCAAGUGGCAGACCCUUACAGGGACCAGCCACCUUUCUCACUUUUAAAAUAUUUUGGACUUCAAACUUUUCUAUGA